rnacentral:tRNA from 1 species
GGGCGAGUGGUGAAAUUGGUAUACACGGUAGACUCAAAAUCUGCUGGCAGCAAUGUCGUGAGGGUUCAAGUCCCUCCUCGCCCACCA